rnacentral:rRNA from 1 species
AUUGAACGCUGGCGGCAUGCCUUACACAUGCAAGUCGAACGGCAGCGGACCUUCGGGUGCCGGCGAGUGGCGAACGGGUGAGUAAAGUAUCGGAACGUACCUUUCAGUGGGGGAGUAACUGUCCGAAAGGACAGCUAAUACCGCAUAUUCUGUGAGCAGGAAAGCAGGGGAGUCGCAAGACCUUGCGCUGAUUGAGCGGCCGAUAUCAGAUUAGCUAGUUGGUGAGGUAAAGGACUCACCAAGGCGACGAUCUGUAGCGGGUCUGAGAGGAUGAUCCGCCACACUGGAACUGAGACACGGUCCAGACUCCUACGGGAGGCAGCAGU